UACGAAGGGGGCUAGCGUUGCUCGGAAUGACUGGGCGUAAAGGGCGCGUAGGCGGUUCGUACAGUCAGACGUGAAAUCCCCGGGCUCAACCUGGGAACUGCAUCCGAGACUGCAUUGCUAGAGUAUGGGAGAGGGAAGCGGAAUUUCUGGUGUAGCAGUGAAAUGCGUAGAUAUCAGAAGGAACAUCAGUGGCGAAGGCGGCUUCCUGGACCAAUACUGACGAUCAGGUGCGAAAGCGUGGGGAGCAAACAGG
rnacentral:rRNA from 1 species